rnacentral:misc_RNA from 1 species
GAUGAAGAACGUAGCGAAAUGCGAUAAGUAAUGUGAAUUGCAGAUUUCAGUGAAUCAUCGAAUCUUUGAACGCAAGUUGCGCCCGAAGCCAUUAGGCCGAGGGCACGCCUGCCUGGGCGUCACACGUCGUUGCCCCCCCAUCUACUCCUUCGGGAUUGCGGGGGGCGGAUGAUGGCCUCCCGUGCGCCUCGUCGCGCGGUUGGCAUAAAUGCCAAGUCCUCGGCGACGCACGCCACGACAAUCGGUGGUUGCGAAACCUCGGUUGCCCGUCGUGUGCGGUCGUCGCGCAUCGAGGGCUCGAAAAAAUUGCCGGGCUCCGGCUCGGCUUUCAACGCGACCCCAGGUCAGGCGGGGUUACCCGCUGAAUUUAAGCAUAUCAAUAAGCGGAGGA